CUCAUCUGGCACUCACAGUAUGAAUGUAAGGGAUCUGUAUCUAAAUGUAGAUAUUUGGAUAUUGAUUAUAGUGUGUGCAAGCCAAUAUCAGGAGAGUCUAAAUGUUUUGAUCCCCAUUUCCAACCCCGUACAAUUUGGUUGGUAAUUCGGAAUAGUAACUCCCAGGGGACAUUACUAAAUAGGACUGUGAUAAGCACCAUACAUUCCACGGG